GACGAACGCUGGCGGCGUGCUUAACACAUGCAAGUCGAACGGGAAGGCUCCAGCUUGCUGGAGUUCUCGAGUGGCGAAAGGGUGAGUAACACGUGGGUAAUCUGCCCUGCACCCUGGGAUAAGCCUGGGAAACUGGGUCUAAUACUGGAUAUUACCUUUCGCCUUGUGGGGUUUGGUGGGAAGUGUUUCGGUGUAGGAUGGGCCCGCGGCCUGUCAGCUUGUUGGUGGGGUGGUGGCCUAGCAAGGCGAUGACGGGUCGCCGGCCUGAGAGGGUGCUCGGCCACACUGGGACUGAGACACGGCGCAGAAGCCGACGGGAUGCAGCAGUGGGGAAUAGUGCACUAUGGGCGGAAGGCGGAUGCAGCGACGCCGUGUGGGGGAUGACGGCCUUUGGGUUGUAAACAUGUUUCAGCAGGGACUAAGCGUGAGUGACGGUACCGGGAGAAGAAGCACCGGCUAACUAUGUG
rnacentral:rRNA from 1 species